rnacentral:rRNA from 1 species
UACGGGGGGGGCAAGCGUUGUUCGGAAUUACUGGGCGUAAAGGGCUCGUAGGCGGCCAACUAAGUCAGACGUGAAAUCCCUCGGCUUAACCGGGGAACUGCGUCUGAUACUGGAUGGCUCGAGUUUGGGAGAGGGAUGCGGAAUUCCAGGUGUAGCGGUGAAAUGCGUAGAUAUCGGAAGGAACGCCGGUGGCGAAAGCGACGUGCUGGAUCUCUUCUGACGCUGAGGCGCGAAAGCCAGGGGAGCAAACGGG